GCUAUACAUGCAGUCGAGCGGACAGAUGGGAGCUUGCUCCCUGAUGUUAGCGGCGGACGGGUGAGUAACACGUGGGUAACCUGCCUGUAAGACUGGGAUAACUCCGGGAAACCGGGGCUAAUACCGGAUGGUUGUUUGAACCGCAUGGUUCAAACAUAAAAGGUGGCUUCGGCUACCACUUACAGAUGGACCCGCGGCGCAUUAGCUAGUUGGUGAGGUAACGGCUCACCAAGGCAACGAUGCGUAGCCGACCUGAGAGGGUGAUCGGCCACACUGGGACUGAGACACGGCCCAGACUCCUACGGGAGGCAGCAGUAGGGAAUCUUCCGCAAUGGACGAAAGUCUGACGGAGCAACGCCGCGUGAGUGAUGAAGGUUUUCGGAUCGUAAAGCUCUGUUGUUAGGGAAGAACAAGUACCGUUCGAAUAGGGCGGUACCUUGACGGUACCUAACCAGAAAGCCACGGCUAACUACGUGCCAGCAGCCGCGGUAAUACGUAGGUGGCAAGCGUUGUCCGGAAUUAUUGGGCGUAAAGGGCUCGCAGGCGGUUUCUUAAGUCUGAUGUGAAAGCCCCCGGCUCAACCGGGGAGGGUCAUUGGAAACUGGGGAACUUGAGUGCAGAAGAGGAGAGUGGAAUUCCACGUGUAGCGGUGAAAUGCGUAGAGAUGUGGAGGAACACCAGUGGCGAAGGCGACUCUCUGGUCUGUAACUGACGCUGAGGAGCGAAAGCGUGGGGAGCGAACAGGAUUAGAUACCCUGGUAGUCCACGCCGUAAACGAUGAGUGCUAAGUGUUAGGGGGUUUCCGCCCCUUAGUGCUGCAGCUAACGCAUUAAGCACUCCGCCUGGGGAGUACGGUCGCAAGACUGAAACUCAAAGGAAUUGACGGGGGCCCGCACAAGCGGUGGAGCAUGUGGUUUAAUUCUAAGCAACGCGAAGAACCUUACCAGGUCUUGACAUCCUCUGACAAUCCUAGAGAUAGGACGUCCCCUUCCGGGGCAGAGUGACAAGUGGUGCAUGGUUGUCGUCAGCUCGNGGCCGGAGAUGUUGGGUUAAGUCCCGCACCGAGCGCAACCCUUGAUCUUAGUUGCCACCAUUCAGUUGGGCACUCUAAGGUGACUGCCGG
rnacentral:rRNA from 1 species